rnacentral:rRNA from 1 species
GACGAACGCUGGCGGCGUGCUUAACACAUGCAAGUCGAGCGGUAAGGCCCUUUCGGGGGUACACGAGCGGCGAACGGGUGAGUAACACGUGGGUGACCUGCCCUCAGCUCUGGGAUAAGCCUGGGAAACCGGGUCUAGUACUGGAUAUGACUCCAUGACGCAUGUUGUGGGGUGGAAAGCCUUGUGCGGCUGAGGAUGGGCCCGCGGCCUAUCAGCUUGUUGGUGGGGUGANGGCCUACCAAGGCGACGACGGGUAGCCGGCCUGAGAGGGCGAUCGGCCACACUGGGACUGAGACACGGCCCAGACUCCUACGGGAGGCAGCAGUGGGGAAUCUUGCGCAAUGGGCGAAAGCCUGACGCAGCGACGCCGCGUGAGGGAUGACGGCCUGG